rnacentral:rRNA from 1 species
CAGUCGCCGCGGUAAUACAGAGGGUGCGAGCGUUAAUCGGAUUUACUGGGCGUAAAGCGUGCGUAGGCGGCUUCUUAAGUCGGAUGUGAAAUCACUGAGCUUAACUUAGGAAUUGCAUUCGAUACUGGGAAGAUAGAGUAUGGGAGAGGAUGGUAGAAUUCCAGGUGUAGCGGUGAAAUGCGUAGAGAUCUGGAGGAAUACCGAUGGCGAAGGCAGCCAUCUGGCCUAAUACUGACGCUGAGGUACGAAAGCAUGGGGAGCAAACAGGAUUAGAGACCCCGGUAGUCCCUGUCUCUUAUAC